AGGACCUCAUGGAUCCCAGGGGGACCAAGAGAGAAGCUGAGAAGACAGAGGUAGCUGAGCCUCGGAACAAACUACCUCGUCCAGCACCUUCUCUGCCCACAGACCCUGCCCUCUACUCUGGGCCCUUUCCUUUCUACCGGCGCCCUUCGGAACUGGGCUGCUUCUCCCUGGAUGCUCAACGCCAGUACCAUGGAGAUGCCCGAGCCCUGCGCUACUAUAGCCCACCCCCCACUAACGGUCCAGGCCCCAACUUUGACCUCAGAGACGGAUACCCGGAUCGAUACCAGCCCCGGGACGAGGAGGUCCAAGAAAGGCUGGACCACCUGCUGUGCUGGCUUCUGGAACACCGAGGCCGGUUGGAGGGGGGUCCAGGCUGGCUGGCAGAGGCCAUAGUGACGUGGCGGGGGCACCUCACAAAACUGCUGACGACACCGUAUGAGCGGCAGGAGGGCUGGCAGCUGGCAGCCUCCCGGUUCCAGGGAACACUAUACCUAAGUGAAGUGGAGACGCCAAACGCUCGGGCCCAGAGGCUUGCUCGGCCACCGCUCCUCCGGGAGCUUAUGUACAUGGGAUACAAAUUUGAGCAGUACAUGUGUGCAGGUGAGUUGCCCCUGCUUCAUAGCCCCCUUCCCCUUCCCAGAGAUUGAGAGCCACCCACCCCUGCUGCUGCUUCUCUCCUUGUGCAGACAAACCUGGAAGCUCCCCAGACCCCUCUGGGGAGGUUAACACCAACGUGGCCUUCUGCUCUGUGCUACGCAGCCGCCUGGGAAGCCACCCUCUGCUCUUCUCAGGGGAGGUAGACUGCACAGACCCCCAGGCCCCAUCCACACAGCCCCCAACCUGCUAUGUGGAGCUCAAGACCUCCAAGGAGAUGCACAGCCCUGGCCAAUGGAGGAGUUUCUACAGGUUCAGGAUCAGGGUGGGCAGGGCGAGAGCUUAGACUUGAAGGCUGGGAAAGGGACUUGGGGAGGAGGGUGAAGGCAGAAUGGAGGGUGGACGAGGGGUCCCACUGAUCCCUUGCUUUUCCUGACAGACACAAGCUCCUGAAAUGGUGGGCUCAGUCAUUCCUCCCAGGGGUCCCGAAUGUUGUUGCUGGCUUCCGUAACCCAGAGGGUUUUGUCUCUUCCCUCGAGACCUUUCCUACCAUGAAGAUGUUUGAAUAUGUCAGGGUAAGGGAAUGAUGUUGCAGCUCCUACCUGUAUCCCCAAACACCAAGACCACAGGUCUAGCAUCCAGGGCAACAGCCUGCCUUCUCUCCUCCCACCACCCCUACUGCCCAUCUUCUGCCUCCUCCUCUGCCUGCUCCAGAAUGACCGUGACGGCUGGAAUCCCUCUGUGUGCAUGAACUUCUGUGCCGCCUUCCUUAGCUUUGCCCAGAGCACGGUUGUCCAGGAUGACCCCAGGUGAGGCAUUCAGCUCUGUCCCUCCCCUCUGGAUCCCAGGAUUCAGCCUCCGGCCCUCAACUGAUGCCUCCAUCUGCCCCCCAGGCUCGUUCACCUCUUCUCUUGGGAGCCUGGUGGCCCAGUCACCGUGUCUGUACACCGAGAUGCACCUUAUGCCUUCCUGCCCAUAUGGUAUGUGGAAGCUAUGACUCAGGACCUCCCAUCACCCCCCAAGACUCCCUC
rnacentral:sRNA from 1 species